rnacentral:tRNA from 1 species
GCGCCCGUAGCUCAGCUGGAUAGAGUACAAGAUUCCGAAUCUUGGGGUCGCAGGUUCGAGUCCUGCCGGGCGCGCCA